rnacentral:rRNA from 1 species
GACGGAGGGUGCAAGCGUUGUUCGGAUUUACUGGGCGUAAAGGGCGCGUAGGCGGCCCUCCUUGUCGCGUGUGAAAGCCCCGGGCUCAACCUGGGAAUUGCGCGCGAAACGGGGGGGCUUGAGUUCGGGAGAGGAGCGUGGAAUUCCCAGUGUAGAGGUGAAAUUCGUAGAUAUUGGGAAGAACACCGGUGGCGAAGGCGGCGCUCUGGACCGAGACUGACGCUGAGGCGCGAAAGCGUGGGGAGCAAACAGG